UGUAAAGGAAAACUGCUAAACCUUGUGGCU
rnacentral:piRNA from 1 species